CUUUGAGACAAGUCGUCCAGCAUGACCCAAAAGUGGCUGACCUGCUGUAAAACAUCUUCCCUUCCGCCGGUGCUGGACAUCAUACGAAGAUCCAGUCCAAGAAUUCAGCCACUUUGCUGUAAACCCCGGGAUGGUUCGGCUCAGCGCAGCCCGUCCCCCAACUUACGACUCCUGCAAGCCUCCACAAAUUUUCAUCCUGGCAAACAAGAGGGCCCCCGCUAUCCCCCUGAUAAGUCCUGAUGGAAAAGCCGCAGCGCUGCUCCUGUUCAUCGGUACGCCUGUGGCUGGGGAGGAAUGGAGGUCCGGCCCUGUUGAUUUGCCAUUUAACAGAAUGCAACUCUGGAUUUUCCCUCUCACAAAGGGACAAUGAGGAUUAACGUCCAGGUGAGCGGAUAAACUGAAAGGAAGAAAAUUCCUCCUCGUCACACUGACAGAGCUGACAGAGAGACAGCCCAGAUCUGUUUGACUCAUCUAGCAGCUGCCUGAAAGUUUUUCAAAUAAAACACAGAAUAAGAAGAAAUGUGGAAGGAUUAAUAUUCCAUUUGAUGGAGCUACAGCUGCGUUGAUGGUAUUAAUACGGUGCAGAAGCAUGUGAGCUGUAGUUGGGUAAUUUUCACAACCAUUUCAUGUCUCCCUCUUCUGGUGACUUUUUAUUCCACAUUGAGGAUUAUUUACACUGCUACAUUUAUUUAAUUCAUCUACUUAUAUAUACCUUACGAUUUUAGGAAAUCUGUUCAAGGAUAUGUCUGAAUUCAGUUUAAAAACCUUCAAUACUGAGAUAUUACAAACAAAGAGUUUCAGAUUAGGCUUGUGCAGCACUGAACUAGCGAUCUGUAAAAAAAAA